GUUCAUGGCCAUGCUACCCUGAACAAGCCGGAUCCUGUCUGAUCUUGGAAGCUAAGCAGGAUCAGGCCUGGUUAGUACUUGGAUGGGAGACCACCUAGGAAGACCAGGUGCUGUAGGCG
rnacentral:rRNA from 1 species